rnacentral:tRNA from 1 species
UUAGAAAAGCAGGACUUGAACCUACACAGAGAGAUCAAAACCCUCCAUACUCCCAUUAUAUUAUUUUCU